GCCCAGGACCAUACUACCCUGAAUGCGUCUGGCCUCAUGCUCUUGGAAGCUAAGCAGUGUUGGGCCUAGUCUACUCUUUCUCUGUAGUCUCACUAUGCUCAGGGAUCAGGACC
rnacentral:rRNA from 1 species